CAGGUUCUAUCGCGACGGGGGCUCGGCCGGCGCCUUCCCGAUAUGGCAUCACACGUCUGGGGAACCUCCAUCGGAAGGCUCCGCACGUGACUUCCCCUCUGCCCACAAGCGAACAACCCUCUGCCCUGCUCUGGAUUUAAUUUGUUCAUUUAUCUCCCUUCACUUCUUUCCCAAGUCUCUCAUCAUCUGCCCGCCGCCACUCCUAUCUUCAGUCAGUCUCCCCCCGUCCUCGUGCUCGUCGCCGUGCUCGUCGUCCUCACCCUUGUCCUCGUUGCAGCCUUCCACCUUCCCACCACCCAACCCCAACCC
rnacentral:lncRNA from 1 species